UAAUUAUACAGCAGACACACUACGGGUGCUAAGUCCGUGGUGGAAAGGGAAACAGCCCAGAUCACUAUCUAAGGUCCCAAAAUUACAGCUAAGUGGGAAAGGAAGUGGAAAAACCAUUACAGCUAGGAGGUUGGCUUGGAAGCAGCCAUCCUUUAAAGAAAGCGUAACAGCUCACUUGUCUAAAUAAGUUUUUCUGCGCCGAAAAUGUACCGGGGCUAAAGCUGUAUACCGAAGAUGUGAGUGCUUAUUAAUUUCGAUUAAUAGGCGCGGUAGCGGAGCGUUCCGUAAGUCUGUGAAGGCAGUUUGUGAAAACUGCUGGAGAUAUCGGAAGUGAGAAUGCUGACAUAAGUAGCGUAAAAGAGUGUGAAAAACACUCUCACCAAAAAUCUAAGGGUUCCUACGUUAAGUUAAUCUGCGUAGGGUUAGUCGGUUCCUAAGGCGAGUCCGUAAAGGAGUAGUCGAUGGCAAUUAGGUUAAUAUUCCUAAACCUCUUAAGUGUGACGGGUUUUGUAUUUGUAUAGGUCUUAUUGGAUUGAUCUAUGCUUAAAAGAAGCUCCAGGAAAUAGCACUUAUAUUUAUGAGGCCGUACCGUAAACCGACACUGGUGGAUGAGUAGAGUAUACUAAGGUGUUGAAAGAAUGAUGUUGAAGGAACUCGGCAAAUUAUACCUGUAACUUCGGAAGAAGGGUAACCUGCUUUUAGGCAACUAUGAGUAGGUGGCACAAAAUAGGGAGUAGCGACUGUUUACUAAAAACACAGGACUCUGCAAACACGUAAGUGGAAGUAUAGGGUCUGACGCCUGCCCGGUGCUGGAAGGUUAAUAGGAAGGGUGCAAGCUCUGAAUUGAAGCCCCAGUAAACGGCGGCCGUAACACUGACGGUCCUAAGGUAGCGAAAUUCCUUGUCGGGUAAGUUCCGACCCGCACGAAUGGCGUAACGAUUUCUCCACUGUCUCCAACAUCAUUUCAGCGAAAUUGAAUUCCCCGUGC
rnacentral:rRNA from 1 species